UGCCCCAUGGCUGAGUUGGUUACAGCGUCCGACUGUUAUAGGUCAAUCGGAAGGUCGAGAGUUCGAGCCUCUCUGGGGCAG
rnacentral:tRNA from 1 species